AACCCUAAUAUUCCUAGCAACCAUUCUUCUAUGCUCUGUUUAAAUUAUUUGCUAAAACUGUGUAAUUGUUCAGCCAUCUAAGUGCGAUUUAUCGGUUUUUUUAGGUACUUUUUUGUUGCAAGUGAUGAUAUAGACUGAUACAUCUAACUCCUUUUUCCCGGAGAAGGAAGAAUAAGCAUUUUAAGGAAAUCAGAAUCUCUGAUGCGUACUUUUACUUUCGAUCUUUCGCCAAGAAAAAGACGAAUGAUGGAGUGUUCACUGUGUUGGACAAUAUGUUGCCAUAAAUAUGUCACCGUGUAUAAGAAAGAAUUCACUGGGCUUUGAUCUAAUGGCCAGCAGGGGCUUCUUAGAGCUGCGUCUUGUAUCUUGCACGGAUGCCGGGAAAUUCGAAUCACGCCUAGCGUUUACAAGGGAAGCGUGGUGCUUUCUUUCCUGAAAAAAAAAAAAAAAAUUCAGAAAGUUGUAUGAGUGUGACUCAAUAUGAUGCUGGCUAUACCCAGUCGAUCUGGAGGUCGGAUCUCUUCCUUUGGCCCCCCAAAUGUGCCAAGUUAGCAGGGAUUUCUCCUUCCCUCUCAAAGUAGAACUAGAUUAUUGUGGUUGCUGUUUCUUUGUUUAUUUAUUUAUUUUAUCAUCAUGGGCAAGAAUGAAAACGUUGAAUACUUAAUUAUAAUUAGUUAAAGCUAUACUCAAAAGUAGUACGGUUUACCU